CAGCCGCCGCGGUAAUACGGAGGGUGCAAGCGUUAAUCGGAAUUACUGGGCGUAAAGCGUGCGUAGGCGGUUCGUUAAGUCUGUUGUGAAAGCCCCGGGCUCAACCUGGGAAUGGCAAUGGAUACUGGCGAGCUAGAGUGUGUCAGAGGAUGGUGGAAUUCCCGGUGUAGCGGUGAAAUGCGUAGAGAUCGGGAGGAACAUCAGUGGCGAAGGCGGCCAUCUGGGACAACACUGACGCUGAGGCACGAAAGCGUGUGGAGCAAACAGGAUUAGAUACCCGGGUAGUCCCUGUCUCUUAUAC
rnacentral:rRNA from 1 species